AAUACGCGGGACGUGGUUUUUAGCAUGAUCUCUUGAGUGCAUAAAGUGUGAGGGUGUUGACCCUAGCUUACUCGAUAUUCUGCAAUCAAUUACAAGUAUUUUGGUAAUGGCCACACCUUCGGUUGUUGAUUACCAUCAUGAGAAGGAUACGGUGCCCGAUGAAGAGCUCCGGGCCUGCCUUUCCGACUGACGCUUCUCCCUCCCUGUACCAUCGAAGCUCCCUCCGCUACUACUACCUUUCUGAACUGCCUUAACACAGUCAGCUGUGGAAGAUCGUACCCGAAGUCAAGACCAGCUACAUUUGUUUUGUUUUUAAAUAGUAUUUGAGAUGAUCUUUAAUGAAAAGCGCUAUCUAAAAUAAAUGUACUAUUAUUAAACAGAAAUAGAGUUCCAGGUCACACUUUAUUUGUUUAGUUCCAAAUAAAUGAUUUACAGCCAGGCAUACUUUCGUCCAACGAUAUGUUGAUAAUAACUGCAUGCUAAGGUUAUGGUUCGCUUAGAAUUCGUGUAAGGGUUACGUUUAGGGCUAGGGUUAGGAUAAGGGCAUGGGUUAGUGGAUAGCGGUAGUUAGUUGAAAUGUUGACCGUUAUUGAACAUCUACAAACCAUCUACUUGGGACUAUCCAAAUAAAGUGUUACCGAAAUCCAUUCUAAACCCUGCAUAAUGGCAUUCUGCAGAUAUGGGACAUAAAGAAUCCCAUCUCUAUGCGACCGAGAGGGUCACAAUGCCGACGCUUCACAUGGAACUCCAGAACCCAAGAGAUAUGUCCAGAACUCUCAAGAAAUCUUCAGUUCUUGAUCGACAAAACAACGAGAGAUACAGCAUUAUGGCGAGCUUUUCAUUCAUUCUCCCUGAAGACGGACAUUGUUAUUUUAAGGACAACGACGUUAACUCAGGCUAAAGUGGCUUCCAAGAAAGAGGACGAAAUCAACAAGGAUGUGAGCAGCCUCACCUGCCACCACAACACUACACAGGGAGAUCACUGAUGCAGGCACCCACAAUGGUGUUCCUAUGUUUUAUCCCACUUUGUCUUCAUCCCCAAUCCCUUUCCCCCACCCCACCCCACCCAUCUUCAGUAAUCCUUUUGUCAUUGCAUUUGAUUGUGCUUUGUCUUCCAUUGGGAUCACUGUCAUUGAAAAGGGAAGGGGUUUCGUAGUUCAACUACUUGUCAAUAAAUCACUGGUUAACUUCAAAUUGAGACAACCGAUGCAAAGACGUUGUUGCUAAUGCGAUCAGUUAUAUCCACAUUUUCCUGGAGAAUAACAGGCAUUCUCGCUCAGGGCCUCAAGAUGGAGUAGUAAGCACAAUUAUAAUGGUUCCCCUCAUAAUGAUGCUUUUAUCAGCUGUUGGAUAUGGGGAUAUUCCCAUAUUAGGAAUUCCUGUGGGAGAUUUAUACCGGUGAAUAAGUAUGAUAAUUGGACAUGGAUUUUCUAUGGCUACUGAGUAUUUCCAUCAUAUGAUUGUAGCCUAGGUUAUGAUUCUGUUAUGAAGAGGUUUGUCUCCUUAGACAUGACUCAUUGUAUUGAAAUCUAUUACACCACAUUGAUGCAUCAUGAAAUAACCCAUGUGUGUAGAAGUUUAACCACAGGCUUAAUGUAGCCAAGGUGUCCAUGUAAUGCAAGUGUGUUUUCUGUUUGUUCUUUGUGAGCUAUUGCCAGAUGAAUAUAUAUAACAGAUGAUAUGACAUGGCUAUAGUUGAUGUUUUCCCUCAUUUUUCAAACCACCACCAACAAACACCAACCCUGUUCUCAAUUAAAUGCUCUAUUCCAUUCAAUUUCUGAGUGCUCUUCUACAAAACAAUGUUAUGAGAAUGAAAGCUGAAACCAAUAGCCA
ensembl:lncRNA